rnacentral:rRNA from 1 species
UGGGGAAUCUUGGACAAUGGGGGCAACCCUGAUCCAGCCAUGCCGCGUGGGUGAUGAAGGCCUUAGGGUCGUAAAGCCCUUUCGCCGGGGAAGAUAAUGACGGUACCCGGUAAAGAAGCCCCGGCUAACUCCGUGCCAGCAGCCGCGGUAAUACGGAGGGGGCUAGCGUUGUUCGGAAUGACUGGGCGUAAAGCGCGCGUAGGCGGAUCGGAAAGUUGGGGGUGAAAUCCCGGGGGCUCAACCUCGGAAUGGCCUUCAAAACUCCCGGUCUUGAGUUCGAGAGAGGUGAAUGGAAUUCCGAGUGUAGAGGUGAAAUUCGUAGAUAUUCGGAGGAACACCAGUGGCGAAGGCGGCUCACUGGCUCGACACUGACGCUGAGGUGCGAAAGCGUGGGGGGCAAACAGGAUUAGAUACCCUGGUAGUCCACGCCGUAAACGAUGAAUGCCAGACGUCGGGGGGCUUGCCCUUCGGUGUCACACCUAACGGAUUAAGCAUUCCGCCUGGGGGAGUACGGUCGCAAGAUUAAAACUCAAAUGAAUUGACGGGGUCAUAGCUGUUUCCUG